CCCUUAGAUGUUCUGGGCCGCACGCGCGCUACACUGUUCGACGCAGCGAGUCUUAACCUUGACCGAAAGGUUUGGGUAAUCUUCAGCAAAGUCGAACGUGAUGGGGAUCGAUCAUUGCAAUUAUUGAUCGUGAACGAAGAAUUCCUAGUAAGUGCAAGUCAUCAGCUUGUGCUGAUUACGUCCCUGCCCUUUGUACACACCGCCCGUCGCUACUACCGAUUGAAUGGUUUAGUGAGAUCUCUGGAUUGACGCUGGCUAGGGGGCGACCCUUGGCCAGGCUGUCGAGAAACUGCUCAAACUUGAUCAUUUAGAGGAAGUAAAAGUCGUAACA
rnacentral:rRNA from 1 species